CUUCUCCCUCUCUCUCAUCCGUUUCCUUCUCUCUCCGGAAGUCGCCGGAAAUCGCCGCCGCAGCCGGUCUCCGCCGUCGCCGGAAUCCCAAUCCUCACCAAAAUUUCCAGAUUUUCUUCUCUUCCUUCCCUCUUUCCAUUUCUCCAACCAAAACCAAGAAAUUUGGCCAUCCAACCCUCCAAAAACCCUAGAACCCGAAGCUAAAUUGGGGCUUUUUGUGAUUUCUUCUUUCCAAGCUUAAAUCAAGGCUAUGGGUUUGGCAAGGAUUUUUGGUGAAGAAGGCCAAGGAGAAGGAAUAGGACGUGAUUUUUGAAGAAGAAAGGGUUACAACGAGGUCAUUCCGGAUGAUUUGGAUUAGAAGUUGGUCGUUGGCCGAGUUCGUGUGUUGCCGUUCCUGUUGCUUGAAGUUCUUCCCUUUUGGUAUUCCAUCGAUUUACUCGUUUUUCAUUCCAUGUUGAACCCUGUGAGGUCCGCCUACCUGGGAGCGCGCCUCACCCCCUUGUUUUAUUGUUAUUGUUGAACUCCUUUCAUUUCAGUUAUGAUGUAAGCCCCAAGGCGCCACAAUGCA